rnacentral:rRNA from 1 species
UACGGGGGGGGCAAGCGUUGUUCGGCAUUACUGGGCGUAAAGGGCUCGUAGGCGGCCAACUAAGUCGGAUGUGAAAUCCCCAGGCUCAACCUGGGAACUGCAUCCGAUACUGGAUGGCUUGAAUUCGGGAGAGGGAUGCAGAAUUCCAGGUGUAGCGGUGAAAUGCGUAGAUAUCUGGAGGAAUACCGGUGGCGAAGGCGGCAUCCUGGACCGACAUUGACGCUGAGGAGCGAAAGCCAGGGGAGCAAACGGG